rnacentral:rRNA from 1 species
UAAUACGGAGGGUGCAAGCGUUAUCCGGAUUCACUGGGUUUAAAGGGAGCGUAGGUGGGUUGGUAAGUCAGAGGUGAAAUCUCCGAGCUUAACUCGGAAACUGCCUUUGAUACUAUCAGUCUUGAAUAUUGUUGAGGUUAGCGGAAUAUGUCAUGUAGCGGUGAAAUGCAUAGAUAUGACAUAGAACACCAAUUGCGAAGGCAGCUGGCUAAACAUAUAUUGACACUGAUGCUCGAAAGCGUGGGGAUCAAACAGGAUUAGAUACCCUGGUAGUCCACGCCCUAAACUAUGGAUACUCGACAUACGCGAUACACAGUGUGUGUCUGAGCGAAAGCAUUAAGUAUCCCACCUGGGAAGUACGAUCGCAAGAUUGAAACUCAAAGGAAUUGACGG